rnacentral:rRNA from 1 species
UACGAAGGGGGCUAGCGUUGCUCGGAAUCACUGGGCGUAAAGGGUGCGUAGGCGGAUUUUUAAGUCAGGGGUGAAAUCCCAAGGCUCAACCUUGGAACUGCCUUUGAUACUGGGAAUCUUGAGUCCGGGAGAGGUGAGUGGAACUGCGAGUGUAGAGGUGAAAUUCGUAGAUAUUCGCAAGAACACCAGUGGCGAAGGCGGCUCACUGGCCCGGAACUGACGCUGAGGCGCGAAAGCGUGGGGAGCAAACAGGG